rnacentral:rRNA from 1 species
UACGUAGGGUGCGAGCGUUGUCCGGAAUUAUUGGGCGUAAAGGGCUCGUAGGCGGUUUGUCGCGUCGGCUGUGAAAACCUGGGGCUCAACCCCGGGCCUGCAGCCGAUACGGGCAAACUAGAAUUCGGUAGGGGAGACUGGAAUUCCUGGUGUAGCGGUGAAAUGCGCAGAUAUCAGGAGGAACACCGGUGGCGAAGGCGGGUCUCUGGGCCGAUAUUGACGCUGAGGAGCGAAAGCGUGGGGAGCGAACAGG